CCCAUUCCUCUAAUAUUUAAGUUCACUAUAAUCAUGGGAUACCUUUCACAAAACCCUCCUUACACUGGUUCACAACCUCCAAAUCUCUUUCUUCCAGACUACCAUAUUCUUUGAUGACCUCAUCUUCAUCUUUUCUGCAGAACAAACCGCACUUUUUUCCGACUUCCCAUAGAUUGGGUGGUUCUUCUAUUUCACACGUAUGAUUCAGCC
rnacentral:lncRNA from 1 species